GAUGAACGCUAGCUACAGGCUUAACACAUGCAAGUCGCGGGGCAGCAUGGGGGUUGCAUGCACUCCCCGAUGGCGACCGGCGCACGGGUGAGUAACGCGUAUCCAACCUGCCCUUCACCACGGGAUAACCCGGCGAAAGUCGGACUAAUACCGUAUGUUGUCCAUUGACGGCAUCCGAUUUGGACGAAAGGUUUGGCGGUGAAGGAUGGGGAUGCGUCCGAUUAGCUGGACGGCGGGGUGACGGCCCACCGUGGCGACGAUCGGUAGGGGUUCUGAGAGGAAGGUCCCCCACACUGGAACUGAGACACGGUCCAGACUCCUACGGGAGGCAGCAGUGAGGAAUAUUGGGCAAUGGGCGUAAGCCUGAACCAGCCAAGUAGCGUGCAGGAUGACGGCCCUAUGGGUUGUAAACUGCUUUUAUGCGGGGAUAAAGUGGCCCACGUGUGGGUUUUUGCAGGUACCGCAUGAAUAAGGACCGGCUAAUUCCGUG
rnacentral:rRNA from 1 species